GCAGCACUUGCCCCAGCACUCGUUAAAGCGAGCGGUGGAAAGAGUCGGUGAAACAUGAUGAAGGGUUUUAUGAACGUUAAAAAAUCUCCCGUCCCCUCGUGAAAGACCAUGCAUUUGUCCCACGCUUAACCCCAGGAAGAGUGAUGGUCGGGGGCUUUCCAUCAGCGUCUACCCCUGGAAGCGAGAGGUGGAGCAGGCUUCGACCUGGAGAGACGCCAAACUGUACAAUUCCCCCCCUGAUGCUAAUGGCACCUAGCACAGAAGCUCUGAAGCAUAAAAAACAGUGGACUUUACAUAUCGACGCUGCAGUAGAUCCGUGUCGGACUGUGUGGGCAAAUACUUGAUGAGUGUGUCUUGACUUGCUGAGGUGCCAAGUCAGGAGAAACUAGUCAAAGAGAGGAGGGGAGUUCAGAUAUUCUGACAAGAAGUAUCGGAAAGCCAAUUCGGAUCUACGGCUGUCGUUUACAGCUAAAUUAUUUUUAAUCUUAUGUGAUUACAUCUUAAAUAAAAACUUUGGACAGGAGGAUUGCUGAAUUCAAAAGUUUAAUACAUUUUGUCAAUGUAAAUACCAGUGAAUCAACAUUUACUUACAGGAGCGCCACUGCUAAACUAACCUUUAAAGCAAUGGUAAAACAUUUGGGGAAAUAACCUUAUUCUUGUUCUUGUGGAACUUUCAAUAAGAGGAUUGUCGUGUCUGGACGUUAAAUAUGUAUGUAAUAUCACAUAUAAGAGCUGAUGAAAUCCCUGCUUCAGUUGCACCAAUAUGUGUGAUUAUUCCACAGGCCUUUAUUAAACAUGUGACAUUGUAUCAUGACCCAGACAUAACGUCCUGAUGUUGUAGACUGUAAAUAAAGAUGGUCGACAUGUCUCCACUUCCUUCCACUA